rnacentral:rRNA from 1 species
UACGUAGGGUGCAAGCGUUGUCCGGAAUUAUUGGGCGUAAAGAGCUCGUAGGCGGUUUGUUGCGUCGGCUGUGAAAUCCCGAGGCUCAACCUCGGGUCUGCAGUCGAUACGAGCAAACUAGAGUGUUGCAAGGGGAGACUGGAAUUCCUGGUGAUAGCGGUGAAAUGCGCAGAUAUCAGGAGGAACACCGGUGGCGAAGGCGGGUCUCUGGGCAACAACUGACGCUGGAGGAGCGAAAGCCGUGGGGAGCGAACAGG